rnacentral:rRNA from 1 species
GCAGGCGCGAAAACUUUACAAUGCUGGAAACAGCGAUAAGGGGACCUCGAGUGCCAGGUUACAAAUCUGGCUGUCGUGAUGCCUAAAAAGCAUUGCAUAGCAAGGGCCGGGCAAGACCGGUGCCAGCCGCCGCGGUAACACCGGCGGCUCGAGUGGUAACCGUUAUUAUUGGGUCUAAAGGGUCUGUAGCCGGCCGGAUAAGUCUCUUGGGAAAUCUGGCAGCUUAACUGUCAGGCUUUCAGGAGAUACUGUCUGGCUCGAGGCCGGGAGAGGUGAGAGGUACUUCAGGGGUAGGGGUGAAAUCUUGUAAUCCUCGGGGGACCACCAGUGGCGAAGGCGUCUCACCAGAACGGGUCCGACGGUAAGGGACGAAAGCUAGGGGCACGAACCGGAUUAGAUACCCCAGUAGUCC